GACGAACGCUGGCGGCGUGCUUAACACAUGCAAGUCGAACGGUAAGGCCCUUCGGGGUACACGAGUGGCGAACGGGUGAGUAACACGUGGGUGAUCUGCCCUGCACUUCGGGAUAAGCCUGGGAAACUGGGUCUCAUACCGGAUAGGACCACUGCCUGCAUGGGUGGUGGUGGAAAGCUUUUGCGGUGUGGGAUGGGCCCGCGGCCUACCAGCUUGUUGGUGGGGUGAUGGCCUACCAAGGCGACGACGGGUAGCCGGCCUGAGAGGGGGACCGGCCACACUGGGACUGAGAUACGGCCCAGACUCCUACGGGAGGCAGCAGUGGGGAAUAUUGCACAAUGGGCGCAAGCCUGAUGCAGCGACGCCGCGUGAGGGAUGACGGCCUUCGGGUUGUAAACCUCUUUCAGCACCGACGAAGCGCAAGUGACGGUAGGUGCAGAAGAAGGACCGGCCAACUACGUGCCAGCAGCCGCCGUAA
rnacentral:rRNA from 1 species